UACGUAGGGUGCGAGCGUUGUCCGGAAUUAUUGGGCGUAAAGGGCUCGUAGGCGGUUUGUCGCGUCGGGAGUGAAAUCCACUGGCUUAACUGGUGGCUUGCUUUCGAUACGGGCAGACUAGAGUGAUGUAGGGGAGACUGGAAUUCCUGGUGUAGCGGUGAAAUGCGCAGAUAUCAGGAGGAACACCGAUGGCGAAGGCAGGUCUCUGGGCAUUAACUGACGCUGAGGAGCGAAAGCAUGGGGAGCGAACAGG
rnacentral:rRNA from 1 species